rnacentral:misc_RNA from 1 species
AUUUAGGCAGUGUGAAUAUUGCCAUUUUUGCUUGUUGAUAAGUGUUUCUUCUUCUCUCUUUCUUGUAUAUAAGAAUGAAGUCAGUGCUGCAUUAAAAAAAAAAAUGGCAAUAUUCACACUUCACACUGCCUAAAUACAACUGAUACAAGGCCUAUAAAUGAAACUACUCCUCAGACUCUGCUCUCUCCUGGAGAUCCCCUAAUGUAGAAUAUCCUGUAUACAAGGUUACAUGCAGAUCAAAAAUGCUUUAACCCUUCUAUAAGUUUACAUGGGUAUACUACUACAGAGUCCAAACAAAGACCACCUUUGGUGUGUGUGCAAUCGAUCUGG